UACAGAGGUCCCGAGCGUUGUUCGGAUUCAUUGGGCGUAAAGGGUGUGUAGGAGGUCUUGUAAGUCGGGCGUGAAAUCUCACCGCUUAACGGUGAAACUGCGUUCGAUACUGCUUGGCUAGAGGAUCGGAGGGGGUAUCGGAAUUCAUGGUGUAGCAGUGAAAUGCGUAGAUAUCAUGAGGAACACCGGUGGCGAAAGCGGAUACCUGGAAGAUUCCUGACUCUGAAACACGAAAGCUAGGGGAGCAAACGGG
rnacentral:rRNA from 1 species